UCAUUUUUUUAAAUCAACCGUUACUAUGGCGGCAUUAUCAUGCCAAAAUCCCGCGAGAGUAAACGAGAUCCUGCGCGAGAGGAAUUGAGAUCCGCGCGCGAGUUCCACGGGGCGUUGUGGAGACACGCGCGCGAAUGAAGCAGUCCGAGCGCGCGUGCGCGCGCGAUUUCUCCGCGCGCGCGGGCAGUAUCUCCUCUCGCCUGAGUUUGCUUGCUUGCAGGGAAUAUCGGAGCCCUCGCGCGGAGAAUGUCUGCUCGCUGGCUCGUGCUGCUCACUCGCGGUAAAGUUUAUUGGCAGUAAGUGGGCGGGGCCCGCGGGUUUUCUGUCAUUACACACGAUUGGCUACAGUCCCCGUCCUCUGUGA